rnacentral:rRNA from 1 species
UGCCAGCCGCCGCGGUAAGACGGAGGGUGCAAACGUUGUUCGGAAUCACUGGGCAUAAAGCGCACGUAGGCGGCUUGGUCAGUCUGUUGUGAAAGCCCUCGGCUCAACCGGGGAAUUGCAUCGGAUACUGCCAGGCUUGAGGACGGUUGGGGUGAGUGGAACUCCUGGUGGAGCGGUGAAAUGCGUAGAUAUCAGGAGGAACACCAGUGGCGAAAGCGGCUCACUGGACCGGUACUGACGCUGAGGUACGAAAGCGUGGGGAGCGAACAGGAUUAGAUA